CCGCCCCUCUCUCCGUUAUUGGCCGGCCGCUUACGAAACAUUCCCGCCGCAGCGGGUCAUUGGGCAGUUUGUAAAGCCAAACGGAGGCAGAGUCUCGGGCGUCCGCGUCUUCCCGGCCGGCUCGACCCUCUUCUCUGUUGGGCAAUGAAGUGACACUGUGAAUUGAAGUAACACCCGUCAGUCUGGGCAAGGGAAGGACAAAAGAAGUUCGAUGGAGAGGCUUUUAUGGGAACAAGAAUAUCCUGUUAACCUAGUGGUGAAGAAUCAAGGGCCCAUUCAGGACACAGGGGAGAAGGGAUGAUGUAUAAACCCAUGGAGUUGCUCACUCUCCUCUUACCUCCUUGAGGCAAGUCUCUGGUACUCAGGCUGGAGUGCAGUGGUGUGAUCUUGGCUCACCGUAACCUCAAGCUCCUGAACUCAAGCAAUUUUCCUGCCUUGGCCUCCCAAAGUGCUGGGAUUGCAGGUGUGAACUGCCACACCUGGCCCCCCGACUAUUCCUGUAUCAGAAAUGUAACUCGCCCACUCACCACCAGCCCACACUCUGAGUUCUCCCAUCACUCCACUGCCUGCUCCUCUGCUGAUCACAAUGGAAGAAGAGAUCAUGGCAUUUGUCAUUGACAAUGGCUCCAGCACAUGCAAAGCUGGCUUUGCUGGGUACAGUUCCCCCUGAGCCAUGUUCCCCUCCAUCAAUGGGCAUCCCUGGCACCAGGGCAUGAUGGUGGGCAUAGGCCAGAAGGACUCCUACCUGGGUGAUGAGGCCCAAAGCAAGUGCAGCAUCCUGACCCUGAAAGUGCCCCGUGGACCACUGCAUCAUCACCAACUGGGAUGACAUGGAGAAGAUCUGGCACCACACCUUCUACAAUUAGCUGCACGUGGCUCCCAAGGAGCACCCAGUGCUGCUGCCUGAGGCCCCUCUGAACCCCAGGGCCAACAGAAAUAAGAUGACUCGGAUUGAGACGUUCAACACCCCAGCAAGGUACAUGGCCAUCCAGGCUGUGCUGUCCCUGUACACCUCUGGUCACACCACUGGUAUUAUCAUACACAGCCGAGACCCACACGGUGCCCGUCGACAAGGGCUAUGCCUUCCCCCAUGCUAUCCUGCAUCUGGAUGACUGGCACCUGACCGACCACCCCAUGGAGAUCUUCAGGGAGCCCAGUUACUGCUUCACCACCACAGCCAAAUGGGAGAUCGUGCGCAACAUCAAGGAGAAGCUGCGGAAAUGGCCACCACAGCGUCCUCCUCCUCCCUGGAGAAGAUCUAGGAGCUGUCCAAGUGGCUCCAGUGUCUGGAGGCGCUGUUCCAGCCCUCCUUCUUGGGUAUGGAAUCUUGUGGCAUCCACCAGGCCACUUUCAACUCCAUAAAGUAUGAUGUGCACAUCCGCAAGGACCUGCUUGCCAACGUGGUGCUGUCUGGCGACACCCCUGUGUACCUGGGCAUCACCUACAAGAUGCAGAAGAUCACGACCCUGGUGCCCAGCUCCAAGAAGAUCAUCACCUCCCCUGAGCACAAGUCCUUGUGUGGAUUGGCAGCUCCAUCCUGGCCACCUUCCAGCAGAUGUGGAUCAUCAAGCAGGAGCAGGAUGAGUCAAGCCCCUUCAUCACCCACUGCAGAUGCUUCUAAAUGGACUGCAAGCAGAUGCGUGUCAUGUGCUUCAUGGAUUAAUGUAGAAGUAUAAAUUUGCCCCUGGCAAAUGCAUACACCUCAUGCUAGCCUCAAUAAACCAGAAUAAGCCUUUCAAAAGAACUGGUCCUUGAAACUUGUGUAUCAGCACUGGAUUGUAGAACUUGUUGCUGAUUUUGACUUUAACUGUUCCCUUGGUAUUUGUUUAAUACCCUGUACAUAUCUUUGAUUUAUACCCUUAGUACAUGUGGCUCAGUAACUUCAUGGCUGAGGUGAGGACAUGCUUGUGGGAGGGAAGUCUGUGGCUUGGUGAGUCUGUGUGAGCUGCAGUCUCCUUAACUGUGCAGGUACUAAUGUGUCGGAGAGCUCAGUGUUCCAGGAUUUUCCUUUUAUUUUUUUUUUGAGACAGAGUUUCGCUCCAGUUGCCCACGCUGGAGUGCAAUGGUGCGAUCUUGGCUCACUGCAACCUCCGCCUCCUGGGUCCAAGCGAUUCUCCUGCUUCAGCCUCCCAAGUAGCUGGGAUUACAGGCAUGCGCCACCACAGCUGGCUAAUUUUGUAUUUUUGGUAGAGACAGGGUUUCUCCAUGUUGGUCAGGCUAGUCUGAAACUCCCGACCUUAGGUGAUCCACUGCGCCCAGCCAUUCUAGGAUUUUUCUAGAGCCUGGCAAGAGCUCCUGAACCAGUUUCAUUUCUGUCUUGCUGGUCUAUUAGUGUUAAGUCUUGAGCUAGAAGCGGUUUACAUUUACACCUGUAAAUUUACUCAUUCUUUUAAUUUAUGUAAGUUUUUUGUACAUAAUUCUCAAUUUUUAAAGAGAUGACCACAAAUUUUGGUUUUCCACUGUUAUUUAUGUAAGGAAAAAUAAAGUUAUUUAUGUAAAGAAAAAAGAAAGUAAACCAAAAAAUAAAUAUAAUUCGCUCUAACCUCUAGCUCCAUUUUCAAAAGUCUGCAUGAACUUCGUUAAAUUAGUCCCCUUAAAAUGAUAACAGUAUUCAGCAAAGUUUAUUUUAAAUUCUCUUCAAAACUAUUUACUGAACUAUUAUAAAUUUGUCAGACACUAGGCCAUGCACCAAGAGCAAAUAGGAUAUUUAUUCUGAGUCCUUAUGCUUAUGAAAUUUAUCAUCCUUGGAAGUGAGGAAGUAGAGUCAGGUGUUUAAUUUUUAAAUAUGUAUACAUUUAGGAGAUAAUGGAAAUGAAAUGCUAUCUGAUUUUGAAGGGAAGAACUGAUGUUUAGAAAAGUGGGCUUUGUAUAGAACCACUACUUACAUUCUUUUAAAAAUCUUACUGUUGCCAGGCACGGUGGCUCACAUCUGUGAUCCCAGCAUUUUGGGAGGUUGAAGCAGGAGGAUCACUUGAGGCCAGGAGUUCCAGACCAGCCUGGGGAACACAGUGAGACCCCACCUCUACCAAAAAAAAAAAAAAAAAAAAAAAUAGCCGGGCACAGCAGCAUGCAGCUGUAGUCCCAGCUACUCAUAGGCUAAGAGGCAGGAGGAUCAUUUGACCCUCGGAGUUCGAGGUUGCAAUGAGCCACAAUCAUGCCAUUGUGCUCCAGCCUCAGUGACAGAGUGAGGCCCUGUCCCAAGAAAAAUAAAAACCUUAUUGUGAAAACAUGUUCAGAAAAGUACACAGAAGAUGUACAGC